UUAGAACCUUUCAUGUUUGUUAAAAUUAUAACUUGAUGAUGCUCAAGUUUUCACAGUUAAAAUCUUCCGGUUUUAGGACAUGAGCGAAAAUUGUGCUGAAACAAUGCAGUUUAGCUAAUGGCAGGGGGCCUUCACUCCAAGUCGUCCCCUUCGUAAUGUUCGAUGAUAUCUGUUUUCCCCUCUAGCAGCACCAUUCCUACAUGUAUUGAUGGCUUUCAAAUGGAAGUGAUCCUUUCACUUUUUAGCUUGUUAAUAAUAUGGAAAACAUGCAAGACAUACAUACUGGCAAAGGAAGCUGUGCAAUUUGUUUGUGUGAUGGGCUCAUCCUCAUUCUCACACAACACGAGAUAAAAACAAAAUAGAGAGUUGUGAAAGCAAAGGAAGAUAAAAUACAAAAACAGGAAGGGUUCGUUGUGUGGCUUUGUUUCCAUGGUGGAUGGAUGUUGUGGUUCAAACCUCAAACCCAUUUAUCACGUUAUCCUUUACAUGCUCUUUUCCACCUCUAGCUUUCUAAACUUUUUCUAUGGUGCUUAUUAGGCGUGUAUUUUUCUAGUAGCUUUUCUCAUCCUUCUUUCUUUUAAUUUCUUUUUGCACCCUCAUACUUUGCUGUAUUUGCGGAUUAACUCCCUUCUUUU